rnacentral:rRNA from 1 species
GAGCCUAUGUCGGAUUAGCUAGUUGGUAAGGUAACGGCUUACCAAGGCGACGAUCCGUAGCUGGUCUGAGAGGAUGAUCAGCCACACUGGGACUGAGACACGGCCCAGACUCCUACGGGAGGCAGCAGUGGGGAAUAUUGGACAAUGGGCGAAAGCCUGAUCCAGCCAUGCCGCGUGUGUGAAGAAGGCUUUCGGGUUGUAAAGCACUUUCAGCGAGGAAGAAAGCCUCUGGGUUAAUACCCUAGAGGAACGACAUCACUCGCAGAAGAAGCACCGGCUAACUCCGUGCCAGCAGCCGCGGUAAUACGGAGGGUGCUAGCGUUGUUCGGAAUUACUGGGCGUAAAGCGCGCGUAGGUGGCUUGGCACGCCGGUUGUGAAAGCCCCGGGCUCAACCUGGGAACGGCAUCCGGAACGGCCAGGCUAGAGUGCAGGAGAGGAAGGUAGAAUUCCCGGUGUAGCGGUGAAAUGCGUAGAGAUCGG